rnacentral:antisense_RNA from 1 species
UGUGGGAGCGGGCUUGCUCGCGAUGCAGGCAACGCGGUAUGCCUGUUACACCUUGCCGAUUCAAUCGCGAGCAAGCCCGCUCCCACA